UACGUAGGUGGCGAGCGUUGUCCGGAUUUACUGGGCGUAAAGAGCGCGCAGGCGGUCGUUCAAGUCGCGUGUGAAAGCCCCCGGCUCAACUGGGGAGGGUCACGCGAUACUGAUCGACUCGAAGGCAGGAGAGGGAAGUGGAAUUCCCGGUGUAGUGGUGAAAUGCGUAGAUAUCGGGAGGAACACCGGUGGCGAAAGCGGCGCGCUGGACCUCUUCUGACGCUGAGGCGCGAAAGCCAGGGGAGCGAACGGG
rnacentral:rRNA from 1 species